AAGUCGUAACAAGGUUUCCGUAGGUGAACCUGCGGAAGGAUCAUCACUGAUUCAGGGGGAGGUGUGUGUGUGCGCUCUGUGCUCAUGCGCGCCCCGCCCCCAACCACUCUUUUGUGCACGGUUUUACACGGUCAACGAGACGCCGCGCGUGGCUGCAUUGUGUAUUGGUGAGUCCCCUCCUCCCUUCUUGGUGGGACUUGCCAACCGCAUGCGCCCUGUCGCGUGCGUGCGUUCUCUCUUGCUGCAAUCUCUUGUGCAAUCUCUGUCUAAUGUUACCUUAAAUUAUAACACACACAACUUUCAACAAUGGAUCUCUUGGCUCUC
rnacentral:misc_RNA from 1 species